UGAAGAUGGAAGUAAAGAAGUAAAUGAAUCAUAACAGCACAGAUAUGACUAUUGUACCUUUUUCCUAAUUCAGUGAAGUAUGUCAAGUGAUUACUGAAAAUAUUUUAGGCUGUAAAACACUGCUGUGACAGGAUUUCAUUAGAAUUUUUAAUGGAAAGUUGUUCAGAUGUUCUCCUGAUUGAAUGGCAUGCUACAGGCUGUCUUACCAGUCACGUUCUAAAUGUAAGAGAGCCUGGAGGUACGCAAUGUUCUUCUUAGACUGAUUAAAUAAUAGUCAUGGUAAAAGGAUAGCUACUGUCAUCUUACAUUCCUUAUAUCUAGAAAUAUAUUUCAAGUGAUACUCUUUUUGGUAUCAUCUUCAGACUAAAAAAUGUCUAUUUAUCUCUCUUAACUUCUUUGGUGUGUGGGCAAGAUAUGACUAAAUUGUGGAUUUAUUCACUGUGGUUUUAAGGGCACUAAUAAAUUUAUAUGUGAAACUGUCUUCCAAAGGACUAUAAUAUUCCUUUGAAGUGUCUGUGCUACUUGCAUUUUCCUUGGCAUAUAUGAUAAUACUAGGAUGUAGGAUUCUGAGCGUCUUCAGUACUUUUGUGUCAUACUGGUGUCUUUCUCUGUUGUGGGAACUCCAGACUUCGCCACCUGUUCAGCAUCCUUGCCAAGAGAAGCUGUUAUAAAAGGGCUUUUACCCAGAGAUGAGGCAGCUCCUCUGUUCAUUAAUGAAUUCUGUAUUCUGUAAGGAGCAACUGUAAAGAAAUGGAAGAUUUCUUUACUACUUCUUCUAGUUAGCAGUGAUGGAUGACCCUGACUGUAGAAGCACCUUAACAGGCUGAGGUCCUUUUAGCACAUAUGUUAAUUACAAUCCUUUAAUUUUUUAAAAAAUUGUGAUUAAAAAGCCAUACAUAGUGGUGGCUAAUAUAAUCUAUGUGAAUCAUGCUCCAGUUCUCAGGAAGCAGUUUACUUAAUUUAUGUCUCAUAAGUCUUAAUUUAGCAACGACUCCCUGUAAUCAACCAUCUUUUCUCAGUAACCAUCUUUAUUACUUAAGCUUCAGUAGAAGUCCUCUUGUUUUGGAGGAUUUAUUUACUGUGGCUAUCAGGUAAGCUUAAGAAUACUAUUUUUGUCUUGGUGGCGAUUGAAACUUCCAAAUGAAGAUUUAUUGGAGGAAAAACUUUGCAGGAGUCCUGAAUAAAGGGGGGGAGGGAAGAAGAUUGAAUAAAGUUAAACUGGUUUAUGCUGUAUUUCAUGUGUAUUUAUUCAGGUGAUGCUUCCCUCACUUUUUUCUUUUAUGUCAUUUCAGGGAAGUGAUAGAGAAAAAGCCAGAAAAAUUCAAAGUUCAAUGUUUGACAGACAUAAAAAACUUGUUUUAUCCCAACACAGAACCCUUUUAUGCUGCUUUUGGAAACAGACCCGCUGAUGUUUAUUCAUACAAACAAGUGGGUGUUUCUUUAAACCGAAUAUUUACAGUCAACCCCAAAGGAGAACUUAUACAAGAACAUGCAAAGACAAACAUCUCAUCCUAUGUCAGACUGUGUGAAGUGGUAGACCAUAUUUUCCCUUUGCUGAAAAGAAGCCAUUCUUCAGAUUUCCCUUGUUCCGAUACCUACAGUCAGUUUACCUAUUGGAGAGAACCUCUGCCACCUUUUGAAACUCAGGAUGUACAUCCAGACUCAUCUUAACUGCAACUCCAAACUGUCAGCCUCAGAGCAAAGAAAGCGCUAGUUCACGAUGCAAGAACAUCAUUUGGCUUUUACUGUUGACAGUUCAGCUGGAAUCUGUGAUGUUGUAUUCAUUUGCAGUAAGCAAACUUAGAAAUGCUUCUUCAUACUAAGUCACAUUUCCAGAUGACAAGAGUGAGCCGUACCAGAAGUGGGAAUUACGUUCCUCACUCUUCACUCAGCAACUCAAAUCGUGCCAUGCAGUUUCAUUACUUAAAUAAAAGUGCAGUGAUGAUAGAGUUGCAGUUAGAUCUGUCAUAAGAUCAUUAAGAGGUUCUGUAUCCUUUGUGUAUCACUGAAGUUGUCUUUCAUCUCAUCAGACACCACUGUGAGUUAGGGAGUUGAAGGUACUUGCCAGUCCUGACGUCAUUUUGUGAUACGUGUUGCAGUCCGUAUGCCAGAUUCCACCCUCUGAAAGAGCAAAUGAUUGAGCAGGGGGAUUGGACCAGAUGGCUUCCAGAGGAACCUGAAAUAAUUACUGAACUUGGUCCUCAGCUGUUGUAAACUGGUGUAGCCAUCAGUGCCAGUGGAGCUGUGUUCAUUUAUUCCAUCCUGCUGUUUUGAUCUGAUAACACUUUUCUGUGUGGAAAUAAAUCAUGUGCAAUAUAAAUGGGAAGUAAAAUAAAUAAGAUGACCUGAUCCUGCUAGUCUUCAUAAUGAGAAGUGCUGCACUUCAGUUAAAGCUAUUCGGAUUAAGAUAAGUGUGAUGGUGUAAGAUGCAGGCUGCUGUGUGUAGUGCCCAUCUUACUGAAGUCUGUGGUUUGGCUUCAGUAAUUUUGUUUUUUCCUCAGUAAAGACAUCUUGCUCAGCAUAUGUGCUGAGUUUCAAGACAUUGCUGAGCCAAGAGAACUGAGGAUUUUGUCAAAAUGGAAUAGUUGUAUUUGAAACAUUAUUUUUGGUUAAAAUGUGAACUUUAAUGCUGGUGAGUGAUGCAUCUCAGGUUUUUACUGUAUGGAUUUUUUUUCUUUUGUAUCAUAAAGAAUGAAUACUUUUAGUGCCAUUUAUUUUGCUCCAAGAGGUUGAAAUCUCCUCUUCCAACUUUUUUUUUCCACUCAUUUGUUCAGACACAUUCUGUAUGUACUGUUUUUGCUACUUGCUCUUAAUUGCCUUAAGAUUUAACUAUGUGUGAUAGAAGCAAUACUGCAGAUCAGUUGAUGGUGUUUUCCAAAUGAUCUGCCUUUAUACAAUGUAGUACUUUGCUUUAAAAUGUACCCAUCAAAUGACCAUAAGCCAAAUACUUCUUAAAUUGAACUUGUAGUUAAGAAAGUGAUGUUUUUUUUCCCUCUUUUAAAGUACAUUUAAAAAUCUAAUUGUUCUCUGAAACACUAAAAAUGACAUCAUGGGAUUCUGUGUAUGUAGGAUUUCAGUAUGGCUGAAACAGUGGUUUGCAAGCUGUGGUCUCUACCGGCUUGUGAUCUGUGAGGCUGUGGUGCACGUUUUGCAGCUGUUUUGCAGUGUUUUCAAUUAAGAGUUUAGGCAGAAUGGUCCAGGAGAAAUUUUAAGAUGUGUUUGUGGUUGGUUAGCACCCAAAGGUUUGGGAACAGCUGUUCUGUAUCACAUUUGUUCUCUUUCAACAAAUUCUGCUUUUGCAUGUCAAAAGAGUGAUAACAACAUAGUUAGGAUGGUAAUUCUAUAAAUGGGGCUUUCUAACUUUUAGUGCUGCAGGCUUUAUCUGAGAUGUCAGGGGGCCAAUUUACGAUUUUCCUGUGCCUUCAACAGUAAUUACUAAGCACAGCCCUUUGCACAGCUGCAAUGUGCACAGCUGCAGUUGUGCAGUGGUGAGCCCUCCGUCUUCCUUUUUACAUGAAUCUUGCUGGUUCGGAGUACAUCUACUUUGGAUACUGGAAUUAAUAGACAAACACAAAGAGGAAGAAAUGUGUGUUCAGUAACCCAGACUGAUUAUGCUCUCCUUGCAAAUUUAAUGAAAAUGCAAAUUGACUGUCAGAAAACCUGUAUCACAUUUCUCAAACCUUUAAGACAAUCAGUGAGGAUCUCAGGUUACUAAACUGAAAUGGUUGCAUCUCUAAAUAUAGCCACACUUUCUUUCAAGUAUCUGUUUAUAGUUGUCACUGAUGAUUGAAUUAAUGGAUGAAUACACUGAUUCCUAUUUAAUUCAGUUUUGGCAAUGAUCUGUUUCAAUCCAUUUGUGAUGCAAAAUUAAACCAACCCAACCCUUCUCUUCAGUAAGAAACUUUUUUUAUUCUUCAUUUGCACACAGCAACUUCCACCAUAAGAAAAAUUCCCAGAGAGAUAUCUGCAACUGAAGCCUAUGUGGUUUUUAUUUAUGACUUAAACUGUCCCAGAUAACAAUCCCUAUUUUUUAUUGCGUUGGAGUGUAUUUCAACCCAAAUAGUAGUGUGAACAAGGGGUUGUUUUAAUUCUGUCUCUUUCUUAGGCGUAGAGCUACAUUGGUACAGGUAGGCCUGAGAUGCUGUGAAAUCCCCAUAUGGAGUUUUUCUGGACUUGGUUAAGAGGGCUGGAUCUGACUUGAUCUCAUAUUGCCAAAUAUCUGCUGCAAGAAUGAAGUUGGACUACAUGACCUCCAGAGGUCCCUUCUGACCAACAUUUCUAUGGUUCUGUGACGUUAACGCCUUAUGUAUGACAUACAGUAUAUCCCCCUUUGUAUCUGAAAGUUUAAAUAUAGCUGGAGAAGAAAACAAAAGUGUUUAUAUUAUAACUCGUGCUUAUCAAAAUUGCUGACUCAAAAGAUAGUUAAGAAAAUCCAAGUUUUGGCCUGUUAGAAACGUUGUCAAACUUUUGAAGAGAGAAUAAGAUAUCUUGGUUUGGUAGCCGAGCAAUUUUAUGCAUAAUAUUUGAACUGCUUUGUUAAUUCAUACAGAAGGAAAAAAAAAAAAAGCAUGAUUUAACAAAUUCCUACUCUUUCUGUGAAAGAAAAAAUCAACUUUCAGUGUAAUGCUGGUUUCUGUUACAGAAAGAAUAUCUGGUGAACGUAAAUAAGCAGACACGUGGAAUCGCUACAUGUUCUAUUUAUACAAUACACAUAAACUAGAACGUGCAGCAGUGAGGAGUGACUGAUGUUUAUUUUUCAUGGAGCUGAUGACCAUACUGCUCUAGCUGUGUCAUUUGAGUGACAGAAUACCACACUUGGUGCAUUAGUUGUGUUAAAGAGAAAAUGUUACUGCUGUAAUAUAGGGUGAGAGGAAGAGGGUACUGGGUAUUUUUAUUUGUAGAUAUGGGUUAUUAUUUCACAGCCUAUUUAUAUACAGUAUUUACUCUGUAUAUGUAUGUGCUACUGCAAUGAUGAAAAUCAUUUUAACUCCUCAUUUUGAUCUGCUGAAUGCAACAAUGAUAGAACUAUAUAUUGUAAUAAAGGCAAAUACAAAAAUUCUAA